AUUGAGCGCUGGCGGCAUGCCUUACACAUGCAAGUCGAACGGCAGCACGGGAGCAAUCCUGGUGGCGAGUGGCGAACGGGUGAGUAAUAUAUCGGAACGUACCCAGUAGUGGGGGAUAACGCAUCGAAAGGUGUGCUAAUACCGCAUACGAACUGAGGUUGAAAGUGGGGGACCUUCGGGCCUCACGCUAUUCGAGCGGCCGACGUCUGAUUAGCUAGUUGGUGAGGUAAAGGCUCACCAAGGCGACGAUCAGUAGCGGGUCCGAGAGGAUGAUCCGCCACACUGGGACUGAGACACGGCCCAGACUCCUACGGGAGGCAGCAGUGGGGAAUUUUGGACAAUGGGCGCAAGCCUGAUCCAGCCAUGCCGCGUGUCUGAAGAAGGCCUUCGGGUUGUAAAGGACUUUUGUCCGGGAGCAAAUGCUGGUGGCUAACAUCCACCGGAGCUGAGAGUACCGGAAGAAUAAGCACCGGCUAACUACGUGCCAGCCGCCGCCGUAACAC
rnacentral:rRNA from 1 species